CCUACGGGAGGCAGCAGUGGGGAAUUUUGGACAAUGGGCGAAAGCCUGAUCCAGCCAUUCCGCGUGCAGGACGAAGGCCUUCGGGUUGUAAACUGCUUUUGUACGGAACGAAAAAGCCUUGGCCAAUACCCAAGGUCCAUGACGGUACCGUAAGAAUAAGCACCGGCUAACUACGUGCCAGCAGCCGCGGUAAUACGUAGGGUGCGAGCGUUAAUCGGAAUUACUGGGCGUAAAGCGUGCGCAGGCGGUUAUAUAAGACAGAUGUGAAAUCCCCGGGCUCAACCUGGGAACUGCAUUUGUGACUGUAUAGCUGGAGUGCGGCAGAGGGGGAUGGAAUUCCGCGUGACG
rnacentral:rRNA from 1 species